UCCCCGCUCGUCCAAUGGCAGGACAUCCGGCUUUGACCCGGAAAAUCGUGGUUCGAGUCCACGGCGGGGAGCCA
rnacentral:tRNA from 1 species